rnacentral:ribozyme from 1 species
CUUUUAUUGCUUCAAUUAUCUGCUCUUAAAAUUGAAGCGAACAGGAGCCUGCUUGUGGUACAAUAUACACCCACAUCAAUUGAAUAGAACAGAAAAAAAGGAAUAUUAAUUUUUUGGAAUGGCGUUCUUAUU